rnacentral:rRNA from 1 species
GUAAUGCUUGGGAACUUGCCUUUGCGAGGGGGAUAACAGUUGGAAACGACUGCUAAUACCGCAUAAUGUCUUCGGACCAAACGGGGCUUCGGCUCCGGCGCAAAGAGAGGCCCAAGUGAGAUUAGCUAGUUGGUAAGGUAACGGCUUACCAAGGCGACGAUCUCUAGCUGUUCUGAGAGGAAGAUCAGCCACACUGGGACUGAGACACGGCCCAGACUCCUACGGGAGGCAGCAGUGGGGAAUAUUGCACAAUGGGGGAAACCCUGAUGCAGCCAUGCCGCGUGUGUGAAGAAGGCCUUCGGGUUGUAAAGCACUUUCAGUUGUGAGGAAAAGUUAGUAGUUAAUACCUGCUAGCCGUGACGUUAACAACAGAAGAAGCACCGGCUAACUCCGUGCCAGCAGCCGCGGUAAUACGGAGGGUGCGAGCGUUAAUCGGAAUUACUGGGCGUAAAGCGCACGCAGGCGGUUUGUUAAGCUAGAUGUGAAAGCCCCGGGCUCAACCUGGGAUGGUCAUUUAGAACUGGCAGACUAGAGUCUUGGAGAGGGGAGUGGAAUUCCAGGUGUAGCGGUGAAAUGCGUAGAUAUCUGGAGGAACAUCAGUGGCGAAGGCGACUCCCUGGCCAAAGACUGACGCUCAUGUGCGAAAGUGUGGGUAGCGAACAGGAUUAGAUACCCUGGUAGUCCACACCGUAAACGCUGUCUACUAGCUGUGUGUGCCUUUAAGGCGUGCGUAGCGAAGCUAACGCGCUAAGUAGACCGCCUGGGGAGUACGGCCGCAAGGUUAAAACUCAAAUGAAUUGACGGGGGCCCGCACAAGCGGUGGAGCAUGUGGUUUAAUUCGAUGCAACGCGAAGAACCUUACC